AACCCUUGUGGAGGAGGACGCCGAAGGUGGGGCUAAUGACUGGGGUGAAGUCGUAACAAGGUAGCCGUACCGGAAGGUGCGGCUGGAUCACCUCCUAACAGGGAGACAACAAAAUGUUUAAUAUUAUUAUUUUGUCACCUUAGGUCGAUCGGUAUCUCACAUUCUUAAUUUAUUAAGGAUUUUAUUUCCUAAGUUUUUUCUAGGUCACACCCAUUACUUUUCCUGGGCCAUUAGCUCAGGUGGUUAGAGCGCACCCCUGAUAAGGGUGAGGUCCCUGGUUCAAGUCCAGGAUGGCCCAUAUCUCUAUGUUGGGGGUAUAGCUCAGUUGGUAGAGCGCCUGCUUUGCAAGCAGGAUGUCAGCGGUUCGAGUCCGCUUACCUCCACUGAUUACCACCUCUUCCAUAAUUAUUAAGGAAAUGUUUUGAGUAGUGAUCAAAUUCUGAACGAAUCUAGCUUCCUAAUUUAUUCAUUAAGAUGCUGGACUCAUUGAAUUAUUUUCAUUGUUUUCAGAGAACCUUGACAACUGCAUAGAUUAUUUUUAAAGACAAUAAGCAUCUUUAUGAUGCAGAUUUAUUAUUUGUGCGAAUGCAUUAAUAACAAUUCUAUUAAGCUGAUGCUUCAAUUAUGAAGUUAUUGGUCAAGCUACAAAGGGCUCACGGAGGAUACCUAGGCACACAGAGGCG
rnacentral:misc_RNA from 1 species